UGAGGAAUAUUGGUCAAUGGUCGGGAGACUGAACCAGCCAAGCCGCGUGAGGGAUGAAGGUACAGAGUAUCGUAAACCUCUUUUGUCAGGGAACAAAAGGCGCCACGCGUGGCGCUCCGAGUGUACCUGAAGAAAAGCAUCGGCUAACUCCGUGCCAGCAGCCGCGGUAAUACGGAGGAUGCGAGCGUUAUCCGGAUUUAUUGGGUUUAAAGGGUGCGUAGGCGGCGAGUUAAGUCAGCGGUAAAAGCCCGGGGCUCAACCCCGGCCCGCCGUUGAAAACUGGCUUGCUUGAGUUGGAGAGAAGUAGGCGGAAUGCGCGGUGUAGCGGUGAAAUGCUUAGAUAUCACGCAGAACUCCGAUUGCGAAGGCAGCGUACCGGCGCCAACAGACGCUGAAGCACGAAGGCGUGGGUAUCGAACAGGAUUAGAUACC
rnacentral:rRNA from 1 species